rnacentral:rRNA from 1 species
AUUGAACGCUGGCGGCAGGCCUAACACAUGCAAGUCGAGCGAGCGGCUGACGGGUGAGUAAUGUCUGGGAAACUCCCUGAUGUAGGGGGAUAACUACUGGAAACGGUAGCUAAUACCGCAUCCCAUCAGAUGUGCCCAGAUGGGAUAAGCUAGUAGGUUGGGUAACGGCUCACCUAGGCGACGAUCCCUAGCUGGUCUGAGAGGAUGACCAGCAACACGGGAACUGAGACACGGUCCAGACUCCUACGGGAGGCAGCAGUGGGGAAUAUUGCAAAAUGGGCGCAAGCCUGAUGCAGCCAGGCCGCGUGUGUGAAGAAGGCCUUCGGGUUGUAAAGCACUUUCAGCGGGGAGGCGUUACCCGCAGAAGAAGCACCGGCUAACUCCGUGCCAGCAGCCGCGGUAAUUC